rnacentral:rRNA from 1 species
GACGAACGCUGGCGGCGCGCCUAACACAUGCAAGUCGAACGAGAGAGAGGAAGCUUGCUUCCUUAAUCGAGUGGCGGACGGGUGAGUAACGCGUGAGGAACCUGCCUCAAAGAGGGGGACAACAGUUGGAAACGACUGCUAAUACCGCAUAAGCCCACAGCUCGGCAUCGAGCAGAGGGAAAAGGAGUGAUCCGCUUUGAGAUGGCCUCGCGUCCGAUUAGCUAGUUGGUGAGGUAACGGCCCACCAAGGCGACGAUCGGUAGCCGGACUGAGAGGUUGAACGGCCACAUUGGGACUGAGACACGGCCCAGACUCCUACGGGAGGCAGCAGUGGGGAAUAUUGCACAAUGGGGGAAACCCUGAUGCAGCGACGCCGCGUGGAGGAAGAAGGUCUUCGGAUUGUAAACUCCUGUUGUUGAGGAAGAUAAUGACGGUACUCAACAAGGAAGUGACGGCUAACUACGUGCCAGCAGCCGCGGUAAAACGUAGGUCACAAGCGUUGUCCGGAAUUACUGGGUGUAAAGGGAGCGCAGGCGGGAAAGCAAGUUGGAAGUGAAAUCCAUGGGCUCAACCCAUGAACUGCUUUCAAAACUGUUUUUCUUGAGUAGUGCAGAGGUAGGCGGAAUUCCCGGUGUAGCGGUGGAAUGCGUAGAUAUCGGGAGGAACACCAGUGGCGAAGGCGGCCUACUGGGCACCAACUGACGCUGAGGCUCGAAAGUGUGGGUAGCAAACAGG